rnacentral:lncRNA from 1 species
AAAAAAACUACUUCUUUAGUCUCUUUAGCAAGAAUACAUUUAAUGAAAAAUAAUAUUGUGAAAUAUUAUUACAAUUUAACAUGGCUGUUUUCUGUUUUAGUCUUAUAAUUUUUUGUUUUAGUCUAUAAUUUUACAUUUUUCAUAAUUGAAAUUUUUUUUAUUGAAAAGGUUAUUCUGCUAGACAAAUGAUAGUAUAAAUAUUACACACAGUCUCUCAGUUAAUAUGCAUAAUAAUCAAUGAUUAAUUACAGCAUCCUAUUGUAUGUGAAUUGAGUGUAUUUCUGAGUCUACUGUUAGUAUUGUGGCUUGUGAAUGAUCUAGGACUCAAUCUCUUUCCAUGCAUGUUUUUUUGCUGCAGAGGAUGAUGUAGAUCUGGAGGCCCUGGUGAAUGACAUGGCCUCUCUUUCUUCCUAUGAGAGCAUCUAUGCAACCUGUGGGACGCAGCAUUCGGACUCAGCCCCACUCUUGCCUGAUGGCAAUGGACUCCAUGGCAACAGAGUGGCCCCCACUGCCACGGGCCCCCUAGUAAUAAAGUGUCGCCCCCCCACCUCUCCCUGCCCACAAGCUCCGGCGAUCACAGCCAAUGCACAUACAGGCCGUCAGGCGACUUCAGGAAGAAGAGUUGCAAGUUCGUCCAGCGUCUUUGCCAGCAAUUCCGAACCCGUUCCCUGAGCUCUGCAGCCCCUCGGGAUCUCCUGUGCUGAGCCCUGGAUCUCUGCCACAGCCAUCGGAGCCACAUGUAAGAGUUGAUAACAGACAAUGCGCUCUGAGCCCUGUAGCUAUUAUCCAUUAGACACGCAUGCGAUGUUACCUGAGUGAUUUAUUGCAGGUAUGAGACUUGUAUGUCUGGCAUCCUAGUCUGUUCUCAUGUAUGUUUGUACGAGAAACCAUCGAAGUUGAGAGAAACUGAAAUGAUUGGAGAUUCUUUGGCAUUUAAAAGUUGUUUCUGUUGCAUUUCUUUGUGGCAUUUGGCACUUUUUGCUACAGUAUGUAGUUUUUCAUUUAAAGUAGCCAAUGAAGUCAUUGAUAACAUCAGACUUCAAGUAAGGUACACAGAUACUUAAAUCGAAAGUAUACCUCCCUUGCCAUUGUUUGUUCCUCUUUGGCCAUAACAACCAUAGACAUCGAGGGGGACAUGUCCCCUAAGUAAUCAGAUAAACCCAAUUUGUGCUUUGUGAUAUUUGGUAUGCUUGAUGCUUCUCUCCAUUACUAAUUGCUUUAAGGUUUUAAAAGGCUGGUCUGCCUCAGUGGUCCAACAAUGCUCUACAGUGCUCAACAGUGUCAAAAUGCUUGAAAUUACCAAUCAAAUCAAAGAAUGCAGGCAUCGCACUCAGCUUCACCAAAUCAAAGUGCUAAUGGACUCGAUUUUUCUUUGUUUUUAAGCCCUCAGAGUGUGCUUGAGAAGCAGUAUUUUUCCCGUAAGGAUUGUUUCAAAUCAGUCGCUAGUGAUUACAUUUCAACUUGGAUGCUGGCUUAGAAGGUAACAGCCAAUGUAGACACUAAAGUGAAGAAGCUCGCUAGGUUUUAGUACAGAACUAAUGACUCUCACAAGCUUAUGAGGUUGCAGUCAUACUGAGCAUUUCCUCUUUAAUGUACACCCUGUACACCCCACACACACUCUUUGGACUUCACGGGGUCAGCCAGAGGGAUUGUUUGUAAAGCCUGUACUUUUCAAGUGUGCACUAUUGUUGUAUAAUGAGUGCCCUACGACGUAUGUGCAUUUGUCAAGCAUUGUCACAAGUGUGAAAUCCUGAACGGAAAAGUGUCAGUAUCUUUUUUUGGCCCUCGACCCCCAUCAUAUCUUUCCUUAGCAUCCUCCGAGCGGACACUAUUUUCUUGGAGAUGAGAGUUGCUUUCCUUUCACACGCCGCUUGCGUUUCCACUUGCGAGUGUGUGUGGAUGUGUAUAUUUGUCUAGGUCUGUGCCAGCAGUCAAAGCCCUUCCUUCCUCUUUCCUAUCCUUUCUGUCAUUUCCCACAAUGCCUUGCCUUAAGCUCCCUUUCCAAAGGAAAGAAAAUAACUUUAUUUAUGCUCGUUGGCAUGCGCAAGCACAUUCGAGUCUAGAACAACUAAAAAAAUUUGAAAACAGGACGCGGCUUUAGCUUUGAGGUUGAACCCAUGGCAGUCUGCUGAGGUAUGAUUUCCGUUAUCAAGACGUAUAGGACAUCCUGAGAGGUCAGGUUAAUUUUGCUACUGCAAUUAAGUUAUUCAAUCAUUUAUUAAUGUAUGCUAUGUAUCAGAAAAGCAGAUUGUUUAUAUGGAUAUAAUAUACACUACUGUUCAAAAUUUGGGGGUUGGUAAAAUUCUUUUUUUAAGUCUCUUAUACUCAUCAAAGCUGCAUUUAUUAAUUAAAAAUGCAGUAACAGUAAUAUUGUGAAAUAUUAUUACAAUUACAAUUAACUGUUUAUUUAAUAUAUUUAAACAUUUUAUUCAAGGGCAAAAGCUGAAUUCUUCUGCAGCCUUCACUCCAGUCUUCAGUGUCACAUGAUCCUUCAGAAACCAUUCUAAUACGUUGGGUUCGGUGCUCAAGAAACAUUUCCCACUCCUAUUAAAGAUAAAAACAGCUGUGCUGCUUUAUAUUUUUUGUGGAAGCCAUGAUACUUUUUUUCAGGAUUCUGUGAUGAAUAGAAAGUUUUAAAGAACAGCAUGUAUUGCUGAGCCUGAACUUUUAAAUGGUUGUGUAUAUGGGUGUAUAUAAUAAAAAGUAGAUGCAGAUGUCUGUCAUUAGAAUAGCUUUUAAUUCCUUCUCAGAAUGAUUCAUAAAGUCAUAGUAAUAAUACAUAUAUCAUGGAAACAUGUUUAUUAUAUUAUAGUUAUAAUUCCUGGAAAUUAAAUUAAAAAAUGGUUUAUAUAUGCAACAGUCAUGUGGUGCUGCCAAUUUAUAAAUAAUCCAGUGAAUUCUAUGUGAUUUAUUACUUUUAAUUUGGAACUUCAUGGACACGGACCAAAAGAUAAGACCAUUCAUAACAAACGAAUACGUCUGGCAUCAGUGCACAAACAUUCACAUUAUGUAACACUUGAGUGAGUAAAAACAGAAAAAUGAUAUUACAAACAGACUCCAGACCCUGAUUGUGAGCCAUAUUCCAAGUCAAUUAGCUGAUGUACGUCAGAUGAAGUCUACGUGAUGCAUCUGAAUAAUGUACAGCACUCAUUACCACUGAUAUCCCAAGGUAUGUGGCAAAAUCUCUAUUUGUUGAUAUUUCUACAAUCACACAGUAUAUACUGUAAUAUCACCCAGCCUUAAUGUUUCUGACCUUCGUUCAAAUUUGUUCCCAGAAGUUGAUGUCAGUUAUGCUGUUUUCUAGAGUUUGAAGGUCACAUUUCCAGUAAGCGUGGCAUAUUUUAUGGUUGGCAGUGCUUUUUGGGCAUUAUUUUGGACAGGAUAUUACUACUGAUGAAUGCUGUAGAUGGGUUAUGCGCACAUGUGGUUUCUAAAUGAUCUCACGAGGAUCGUCUGACCCUUAGUGACCGGUGGGCAUCAGACUCUGCUCAGGCAUUGGUGUGCAUGACAUGGGCACAACAUGCAUUGCUCAAUGUAGUCUCUUGCGGAGCGUGGGAAUGGAAUAAAUGCUGCUGCUGUGUUUGUGAUACGGACAGUGCAUUAGUGUGAUUAAAAUCUUGAGAUUUUAGCAGGUUUUAGCAGUGCUUGAGAUCUGUCAAUAUGCUUCACAAAGAUGGAAUCUUUUGUAAUUUCUUGUGCAUGCUCCACAGAGGUCUUUCUGUGUGUGAGUUCAUCAGAGUGUCUUUGUAUUUAUACUGGCACUGCCCUCAGACUAGAUAAGAUUACACUCUGCCUGCAUCUGCAACUAAAAUCAUACGCUCUCUUGCUCAAAUGCGCAGCAGAUUGAAUCUGUAAGUUUCUGUUUACAACUCUACUGUCACCCCAAAAAGUACUUGGCCACUCUUGUGUUUGAUUUGUGUGCAAUAAGUAACAAAAUUUAUAUCAAACCAACACAACUUAAGAAAUAUAUUUAGUAAGAGAGAUGUUUGUAAGAAGUUAGAUUUCAAAUUAUAAAACAGUAAAUAUACCAUAAAUUCUGAAAUAUAAAUUCAAAUAAUAAAAAAGAUUAAAUCAGUUAAAUAUUAUAUAUACAGUAAUAAUUAAAUCAUACUGAUUUAUUUUAUUGUUUGUGUAUAAUAAAUCAGUAUUAUUAUUUAAAAUUAUUUAAUUUCUAAUCAUUCAAAUAAUGUAGUCAUUUAUUUAAUAAUUAAAAUAACUAAAUAUUUAAAUUAUUAUUCUUUUUAUUAUAUUGGUAGCUAAAGUAGUAGAGCAUAGCACUAUUGUUGUAGGUUUGAUUCCCAUGGAAUGCAUGGACAGAUAAAAGUGCAUACUUUGAAUGCCCUGUAGGUUGCUUUGCAUCUCCCAAAUGCAUAAAUGAAAAUGUUUGUCAGAGCAUUGAUGAAUCGCCCAUAAGACCUAAAACAAGCAUUAAAUAAAUGAAUGGGGUCUUUUUUGAUUGCACAUCAACUUUAAGCUUGUGUGUUACUUCUCAGAGUGGUGUAUGUGUUCGUUUAAAAUGGCAAGAGCGCACAGGUCUGCCGCAGUGGGAUUAAUUAAGAUUCGCUAGAUUUUCUUAUUUACUCUUUUCUUUAUUUAUGUGUGUCAGCUUUCCCCUCAUGCACGUACAAAUACUAAUACGGCAUUCUGUGCAUGAGUGAUCCAUCUCUGAUGUAGUAACUUGAGUUUCAAGCGCUGAACCUGCUAUGACCUAUGCUGGAUUCUGCGAGCGAGUGAUUAAUGGCGGUGAGCCAGAGCGCGGAGCCGCAGGGGGUGCGUGUCUGUGAGUUUGUGUACAGUGUGAAACGACACCAGGCCCUCAAGACUCUCGUUAAAGUCAGGCCAUAAAUUGAAAAGUGAUUGAGGUCUUGCAACAUACACAAAACCAACACCGAUGCAUCUGUGUGUUCAUGUGUGAGCAACAGUGACACCUAAUGUGUUUGUUGAAUUAGUCAUCUUUGUUUUCAGUCUGUCUGGAUUUUUGGAACACACACGUAGCAACUAGUGCUGUCAAACAUUAAUCACAACCAAAAUAAAAGUUUUUCUUUACAUGAUAUAUGUGUGUACACUCUGUAUAUUUAUUAUGUAUAUAUAAAAUAUAAGAACAUAAAUAUAUA